rnacentral:rRNA from 1 species
UUAGUGGCGGACGGGUGAGUAACGCGUGGGUAACCGUGCCUUGCACGUGGGGAUAACACUUAGAAAUAGGUGCUAAUACCGCAUAAGCGCACGGUCCUGCAUGGGACAGUGUGAAAAACUCCGGUGGUGCAAGAUGGACCCGCGUCUGAUUAGCUGGUUGGCGGGGUAAAGGCCCACCAAGGCGACGAUCAGUAGCCGGCCUGAGAGGGUGGACGGCCACAUUGGGACUGAGACACGGCCCAAACUCCUACGGAAGGCAGCAG